AGACGGAAGCCGGUUACAAAAACAUGCUCGUAAAAAUAAAAGUUCUUUGGUAAAAAUUUUCUUAUUUUCAGAAUGAUAAUUUAUGAACACAAACUGUUACUCCGCAAUGUUG